rnacentral:rRNA from 1 species
AAUAUUGGACAAUGGGCGAAAGCCUGAUCCAGCCAUGCCGCGUGUGUGAAGAAGGCCUUCGGGUCGUAAAGCUCUGUCAAUAGGGACGAAGUCUAAUAAGUAAAUAGCUUAUUAGGUGACGGUACCAAUAAAGGAAGCCCCGGCUAACUACGUGCCAGCAGCCGCGGUAAUACGUAGGGGGCGAGCGUUGUCCGGAAUUACUGGGCGUAAAGGGCGUGUAGGCGGCUAAAUAAGUCAGGUGUGAAAACUGUGGGCUCAACCCAGAGAUUGCACCUGAAACUGUCUAGCUUGAGGGUAGGAGAGGAAAGUGGAAUUCCUAGUGUAGCGGUGAAAUGCGUAGAUAUUAGGAGGAACACCAGUGGCGAAGGCGACUUUCUGGCCUAACCCUGACGCUGAGGCGCGAAAGCGUGGGGAGCAAAC